UAACCCUUGGCCUCUGGCCUGCUGGUAUAGAAGAGGCCGAGAGGCGGCGCCCGGGAGGGGCCAGCCCUGCGCCCGCGCCCCCCGCCCCCACGCCGCAGGAAGUGGCCCGGGCGGCCUAGGAAGGGGAAGAGCCGAGUUGCCCCAGCCCCGCACCCCCAGCCCCAGCCCCGCGUGCAGCUCGCACCCCUUCCCACGCCUGUUCGGGGGAGAGCCCCGGGCCUGGAGUGGGAAGCCUGGCUCCAGCUCUGGUUACCUGCAGUGACUCCCCAGGCCGUUUAGGCGAGUCCAUUGGGCCGCCUCUGCCUCGGUUUCCCCACCUAACCACGGAAGGUGCUCCUCCCUUCCAGGCAUCUGUGGUCUUCGAGCUCCACGCGGGAGAGGCGCCGGUCUGGCACCUCCUGCCCAGGGUCGGCGCCUCCUGGCUCUCGGGGAGGGGGGCAUCCUCCAUCCCCUGCACCUGCCUCGAGAGGAACCAGGGACAGAGCACCCCCACCCCCACCAGGAGCUCCGGAAAAACGGCUUCAGAAGAGCAAAUAUACACACACACCCACCUCCCGCCCCAAACAUCCCCGAAGAAAGGUAACCACAGAAACAGCCAGAAAUGUGGAGCUGGGCGAUCGUAUGAGGCUGAGACAAAACUGUCUUUCUAGCGUCUCUAGGGGAGAGCUUGAAUCCCUCCUUCCACUCCUCCUCCACGGAAAACAGAGUGAACUCCUGCUACAGAGGCCGCCAGAGCAACAUGCAAGACCAGCUUUGAGGGGAGCGGGCACAGGGCCUUGCAGGGAAGGUGGGCCGAGCCCAGACCCCUCAUUCUUACUUGGCUCUGAAGGCGGAAAGGCAAAGCUAGACCUCGAGGAAGUUCCCCUCCCUGUGGGCCCUACAGUGAAGAUUACAUGAAGGCAUGUGGGCGGUGGACCAGAGUGCACCGACUGAUGAAGGCGGCCCGGUACCCGCGGGUGCCAUGCCUCCUUCUUAGCCAAGGCCACUCUAGCUCCCCGUGAAGUAUCCAGGAGUGUAUCUCUCUCAGAUGAGAUACAAGUUGGUCCCUUCCCUUGCGUCCCUCCUGUUCCUUCAAGAGGAGGACUGUCUACCCACCCCGAAGCUUCAUGGAGAGAGAGCACACCGUCGUUAUUCAAUAUGUAGUUUUGAAUUUAACUAGAGCAAAGAAGAAAGCAAAUUCAGGUGGAAGGAAGAAGAAAAGGGAAAAGGGCUGUCCCCAUCCUUCUAAGGAGAUGGUGCAGUGGCUCACCUUUGGGAGGCCGAGGCAGGCAGAUCACUUGAGCUCAGCAGUUUGAGACCAGCCUGGGUAACAUAGUGAAACCCCAUCUCUACAGAAAUUAAAAAAUUAGCCAGACAUGGCGGCGCACACCUGUGGUCCCAGCUACUCAGGAGGCUGCGGCAGAAGUAUGCCUUGAGCCAAAGAGGCAGAGAUUGCAGUGAGCCAAGAUCAUGCUACUGCACUCCAGCCUGGGCAACGAAGCAAGACUGUCUCAGGAAAAAAAAAAAAAAUGAUCAUUUUUCUCUGUCCACUUGGUGGGUCAACUGAAUGGUAUUCCUGUGUCUUCUACUCUCCUCCCACUUGGAAACCCACUGAGAUGCUCUUCCGAAGGCCAGUGCAUGCUGGGCCACACGAGACAGAGCUCAGGCUGGAGGAGCCUCAUACCCGCCCCUCUAGAUGCUUAUAAAAAUACUUCCCACCUUUGAAUCAAGUGGAAAAUGAGGCUCUCCAGUCAAAAGCCGCGACUGUAUAGAAAGCCCUGAGUUGCCCAAUCUGUUCACAUGGCAUCACCAACCUCUGUGUCAUCAUCAAGCUGUCCAGGGGACUCGAUGGCCACCUGGCCAGGAACUGCGGGCUGAUUGGAAGCUGUUGUUCCCAUUGUAUAAUCACACACAUCAUAAAAUAAUCAGUCUUGUCUCUAUUUACAAUUUUGAUGUUUUGUUCAUCACAAAUUUUUAUAUUAAUUUUUAGUUUAACAAACAUUGCACUAAAAUAAUGUUUCUCUUGAUGACCGAGUUUGGGUGCCCUUUCUAUUCUGUGUACAAGAUGAGAGCCUCACUGGCCUCCCCCAAUCCUGGCACUGCCGGAGGCUUUCCUGCGCCCCCUGUGUACUUGUAAGUGC
rnacentral:lncRNA from 10 species